rnacentral:rRNA from 1 species
GACGAACGCUGGCGGCGUGCUUAACACAUGCAAGUCGAACGAAGUGGCGAACGGGUGAGUAACGCGUAAUCCACCUGCCCUUCAGAGGGGGCCAACAGUUGGAAAUGACUGCUAAUACCUCAUACUUAAGGAGGGGAUUGCGGCUGAUUAGCUAGUUGGAGGGGUAACGGCCCACCACGGCGAGGAUCAGUAGCCGGGCUGAGAGGAGGAACGGCCACAUUGGGACUGAGACAAGGCCCAGACUCCGACGGGAGGCAGCAGGGGGGAAUCUUCCGAAAUGGACGAAAGUCUGACGGAGCAACGCCGCGGGAGUGAUGACGGCCUUCGGGUUGUAAAGCUCUGUUAAUCGGGACGCGGUACCGGAAUAGAAAGCCACGGCUAACUACGUGCCAGCAGCCGCGGUAAUUC